UACGGGGGGAGCAAGCGUUGUUCGGAUUUACUGGGCGUAAAGGGCGCGUAGGCGGUCAGCACAAGUCGGUUGUGAAAUCUCCGGGCUUAACCCGGAAAGGUCAACUGAUACUGUGCGACUAGAGUGCGGAAGGGGCAACUGGAAUUCUCGGUGUAGCGGUGAAAUGCGCAGAUAUCAGGAGGAACACCGGUGGCGAAGGCGGGUCUCUGGGCCGAUACUGACACUGAGGAGCGAAAGCGUGGGGAGCGAACAGG
rnacentral:rRNA from 1 species